rnacentral:lncRNA from 1 species
GGUGACAUACAUUAGAAGUUUCUCUCUGAUCAUAUGGCUAACUUGAAGAGUCUCAGUGGACGGAGACUUUACUGAAGAGUCCCAUUGGAUGGGGACUCUAGAGAAGAGUCCCACUAGACUUGGACUCUAUUAUUAAUGAAAAAUUAAUUAGUAAUUAGAUCACUAAUUAGUUCAAUUUGAUUGAAUAUUAAAGUUUGAAUCAAGUUUGAUUGAAUUGGAUUCAAUUAGGUCAAGUCUG